rnacentral:lncRNA from 1 species
AGGAAGAUGUGGUAUAUGUACACAAUGGAAUACUACUCAGCUAUAAAAAAGAAUGGAAUAAUGCCAUUUGCAGCAAUAUGGAUGGAACUAGAGACUCUCAUCCUGAGUGAAGUAAGUCAGAAAGAGAAAGACAAAUACCAUAUGAUUUCACUUGUAUCUGGAAUCUAAUAUACAGCACAAAUGAACCUUUCCACAGAAAAGAAAAUCAUGGACUUGGAGAAUAGACUUGUGGUUGCCAAGGGGAGGGGGAGGGAGUGGGGUGGGCUGGGAGCUAGAUGCAAACUAUUGCCUUUGGAAUGGAUUAGCAAUGAGUUCCUGCUGUGUGGCACUGGGAACCGUAUCUAGUCACUUAGGAUGGAGCAUGAUAAUGUGAGAAAAUAGAAUGUGUACAUGUAUGUGUGACUGGGUCACCAUGCUGUACAGUAGGGAAAAAAAUUGUAAUGGGGAAAUAACAAUUUAAAAAAAUAAAAAUUAAAAAAAAGAAAAAUCAUUAAAAAAACAAAAACAAAGCAAAUGUCUAUAGAGUGGUGAAAGAACUUUGUAAGCCAGAAAUUUCCUUACAGCUAUCAGUUGUUGCUACUGUUCCAUGAGAGAACCCACUUUUCAGGGUUAAUAACUCAAAGAGAAGACAAAACCUCACGGGCCGAACCAAGGGAGCAGACCUGCAAAGCUCUGAGACCUUUCUGUGCCAAGGGCUCCCUGCAGAGGAGGGUUGAUUCCAGGCCAUUGGUGUAACGCCGGAAGGCUUCCUGGAAGAGAGGAGUACACACCCUUCAUUCCUUUAGCCUUGAGCAAUGCUGCGCUCCUAGAGCUGCUUCUUGGAAACGGCCCAAACGCAGCCCAUGACCAGCUGGAUAACAGCUUUGGGAAGUCACAGGCUGUACUUGCCUUGGAAUCCAGACUCCGUGGGGUGCAGCGUGGGGCUCCCGCUCACUGCCUGAGUUGCUGCUUCCUGGAUGCAGGGGAUACAGUUUCCCCACCUCCAGGAAAUGAAGCCAAGAGGGCACCUAGGGGUUCUCUAAGACGCAAAUGCAGGGCAGAGUUGAGGGUGUCAUCUCCCAUCUUUGUUUCAUGCCCCUCCACCCCCUCCCUCUGGGGGGCAAGGACAACUUAACAGCUGCAGAAAGACAAAUCUCUCUCCUCCCCAGGGCUGAUGAGGAGGAGAAAUGAGAAAAUGCAUGUCAAGCACAGGUAUGGAGAGGGCUGACUGAAUGGCUCUUAUGUCCGUCCUCAUUAUUUAUCUUUGGGCUGAUCCCUGUUGCUCCCUGGGCCUCAGUUUUCUCGUGUCCUCUGCAGAGAUUAGACUGAACGAUAGCCAAGGACCUUUCUCCUUGAAGAGCCACUCCGUCUCUGAGCCGCUGCUUGCUAAGGAUCUUCUGCAGGCUCAGUCUUAGGAACUAUGAAGUGGGACACCUGGGCCUAGUGGAAGUUCCUCAGAAGACCGAGGCUUUGUCAUCACGCCCAAAGCAAGGGCAAGCGCUGCAUGUGGCCCCGAGACAGUGCCUGGCAUCUAAUGAGCCCUCCGGAAAUGCUUAUGGAAUAAAUGAAUGAAUGAAUGAAAUAGAUGUACUGUUUCCACCCCACCAUGCUGUCUGAUGUUAAAACUCUACUAAUCUACCACUGUUAUUACUGGACGACAUCGGCCCAGACCUCUUGGAGGUGCCCCAUUUUUACCCCACCCCACAAGUGGCAGGGGGAAUAGGAAGAGGUGGUCUUAGCACCCAGGAUGCUCUAAGAGAAUACCGUAGUCCGGGUGGCUUAUAAAGCACAGAAAUUUAUUUCUCCCGGUUCCGAGGCUGGAAAGGCCGAGACGAAGGUCCACAGAUCCACGUGCUGGUGAGGACCUGCCUCCUGCUCAUAAACAGCUGUCAUCUCACUGUGCGCUCGCACGGGGGGAGGGGAAAGGAAUUCUCGGGGGCCGCUUCUCUCCGGGCGCUAAUCCCAUUCGGGAGGCCUUCAUCCUCUGACCUCAGGACUUUCCCAAAGCCCCGUCUCCAAAUACCAUCACGGUGGGGAUUAGGUUUCGACAUAUGAAUCUGGAGGGAUAUAAGCAUUUCAGUCCAUAGCAGAGAUGCUCAAACCUUAGUCUCCUGUAUAAAUACCACUGGGAAGCUUGCUAAAUGGCAGAUUCGUGGGCCCACCCCAGAGACACUGAAAUAAAAUCUUUAUGAGCAGAGGCCCAGAAAUCCACCCUUUUCAUUUUAUUAUUGAAAUGUUCAAACACAAAGCCAAUAGUAUAAUGAAUCCAAGCCUCCAUGACCCAACAUUAAAAAAUUUCAACACUUGACAUUCUGGUUUCAUUUGUGCUGCCACCCACUUUCCUUCAAAUCCUGGAUUUCAUGUUAUUUCAUCCGUAUGUACUUCUGUUUAUAUUUCUAAAAGACAAGACUUUAAAAAAUUCCUAAAAUAAAUAAGUGACUCCUUAAUAUCAAAGGUGCAGUCCUAUUCAAGUUUCCCCAAUUGUCUCAUUAAUUUUCUUUAUUUUAAACGUCAUAGGAUUUUUUUCUUUUUUUUUUUUUCUGCCUGAGCCACUGCAGUAACUACACUGGAUUCUUAAUCUGCUGUGCCACAAGGGAACUUAAUAACAAAGGAAUUUUUAUUGAAAUCAGAUUGAAUUUAUUCAUUAACUUAGGGAAAAUAGACUUUUUUUUUUUCUGGGCCAUUCCCACAGCAUGCAGAAGUUCCCAGGCCAGGGAUCAAAUCCAUGACAAACCAGUAACCAGAGCCAUAGCAGUGAUAACACUAGAUCCUUAACCUGCUGAGCCACCAGGGAACUCCAAAAUUGACAUCUUUAAUACUGACAAGUGUUUCUGAGAAUGCUUAUCUUUCCAUUUGCUCAUCUUAUUGUGUAUCCAUCAGUGUUGUCAGAGUUUUUUCAUAUAGGUUUGCAUCUCUUGUUAGAUUUAUUAUAUUAUUUUAUCAUUUCUUGUUGUCAUUGUAACUGAGACUUUCUUUUUUCCAUUAUAUUUUCUAGCUAGCUGUAGUUUAUGUAUAUUUUAUACUCUGCUACCUUACUGAGGUCUCUUUAUAGUAGAUUUUGAGUUGAUUUCUUGGGUUUUCUAGGGAGACAACCAUUUUGUCUGCAAAUAAUAUCUUUCCUUCCUCUGUUUCAAUUUUUUUUUUUUUGGGGGGUCUUUUUGCUAUUUCGUGGGCCACUCCCGCAGCAUAUGGAGGUUCCCAGGCUGGGGGUCGAAUCGGAGCUGUAGCCACCGGCCUAUGCCAGAGCCACAGCAAUGCGGGAUCUGAGCCGCAUCUGCAACCUAUACCACAGCUCAUGGCAAUGCUGGAUCGUUAACCCACUGAGCAAGGCCAGGGAUCGAACGCGCAACCUCAUGGUUCCUAGUCGGAUUCGUUAACCACUGCGCCACGACUGGAACUCCCCUCUGUUUCAAUUUUGAAACUUCUAAUGUCUUUCUCUUACCUAAUUGCAUUGACUGUUACUUCCAAUAUGACGUUAAAUAGUAGUGGUGACGCGGGCAUCCUAGUCUUGUUUGUGACUUUAGUAGAAAUGAUUCUGAUAUCACUGCCUCACAAUUAUGUUUUUAACAUAAUAAAUAUCAGUAUUGUAACUACUCCAUUUGGCUCUGAAAAAGAUAUAUUUUAUUAUAUUAGGAAAAAAUGCACCUAAUUUCCAUCUUACAAGAGUUACUUUUAUUUUUUUACAGCUACACUCUUGGCACAUUGAAGUUCCCUGGCCAGGGAUCAAAUCCAUGUUGCAGUUGUGACAACCCUGGAUCCUUAACCCACUGCACCAGGCCAGGGAUCAAAGCCCUGCCUCUGCAGCUACCCAAGCUGCUGCAGUCAGAUUCCUAACUGCGCCACAGUGGGAACUCCAAGAGUUAACUUUUAAAAAUCAAGAAUGAGUGUUAAUUUUGUCAAAUGUUUUUCCACCACCUGUGGAGAUGAUCACCCUAGAUCCGUUAAUGAUUUUAUUAAUAAAUUUCCUAA